rfam:Myotis lucifugus cont2.2644, whole genome shotgun sequence.
AGAGGCCCUCUGCAGCCAGGGUGGAAUGUUUGCCUCAUUACCACGGCGACGAAGCAAGCAUUCUGCCAGGCUGCUCACGCUGCCCGC